UGCAAAAUAGCCAUAAAAGGAGAAAGUCCUUGGGAAAAUGGCGAAGGGCCAGAAGUACGCGGCUUUGCACUACGGACAGAAAGACAUCUCCUGCCUUUGGUUAUGCUCGGCGCCAAGAGUUAAUAAAUAGGGAUGUUACUUGUGAGAGUGGGUUGUGGGAGAAGCCCAUGAGUCAUUUAGAGCAUGCUGUCCUUGAAAUGUUUCUACUGAUGUGUUAACUCCGUAUGCGCUCUGCUGGCCGCAUACUUUAAGCUCUUUGUUCCUGCUUCUAUAAAAAAAGCUUGACUGCAGAAAUAAACUUGUCAGUCCUUGCAAGAGACUGUCCAAGUGUCCUUCUUUCAGGUUCGUUGCUUCCAAGUCCUGGGGAGAAAAACCCCAACAAGUGGCGCCAGGAACAGGGACUUAAGAGAAAGUUUGAACAAAGAGACGAGCCCCUGCAGAAAGAGAUGGAGAGGAAAUCUGGGUUCCCCUUCGCCAUGUCCGCUACCGAGAAGGACCCCAAGACCAGACUCCCUCGGGAAGUGAUGAAGUUGAGGCGAAGGGUCUCAUUAAUGACCCUGGAGGAGCCAAUGAGGAAAUGCCAUCAUCUGAAUCCUUACCUGACAUGGGCUGAAGUGAAAAAACAUGACUCGUCCGGCUGAGCAGACACUGAAGAGUAUGAGGAACAUCAUAACUGCUCCUGGUUUAAUAGAUCAAGCAUUGGAGGCUUUCAUAAAUCUAAGACAAGUUUCUGGACUGAUAAGGACAUAUUGCUGAAUUGGUAUAAUGGGGGCUUAUCACCCCCACGACCCAGGAUCAUCAUCCCCAUUGUGGGGCCGGAGCAAUGGCACAUUUGGAAAAUUCCAGCAGCCUUAGAGCACUUUGCUAGUGUUUAUGGGACUGUGGGUGUGUUUCGUCCUUCUAAUUAUACCUUCCUAUACAAUAGUACUGGCUAUAUUCAAUCGUGUGUUCACCUUCCGUACUUGUUUAUUGUAGGGCAUUUUGAUAUUGACUUUUCAGCCAAGAUUGUCAAUUGUACUGCAUGUGCAUUGUAUACCUGCCUUAAUCACACCAUUUCAUAUCACAAUGCUAGCAUUGCACUAGUUAAACAAAGAUCUGAGUUAUGGCUUCCUGUAAACUUAACUGAGCCUUGGACUGAUUCUGUAUUUCUUUCUGUAUUGUUGAAACCUAGGCUUAGGCGAUCUAAGCGCAUCCUUGGGUGGAUUAUUGCAGGCAUCAUAAGCCUUAUCUCCAUUGUGACUGAAGGAAAUUUGUCUGGUAUGGCUUUACAUAAUUCUAUACAAAAUCAUGAUUUUAUCACUGCUUGGCACAAAGACUCUCAUGAUCUGUGGACUCGACAAGCUCAAAUAGAUCAGCAAUUACAAACACGAAUUAAUGAGUUACAAACUGUGAUUAUCCACUUAGGAGAUCAAAUGCAGCAACUGACUUUCUGAACACAUAUACGCUGUCACUGGAAUUUUACUUCUUUUUGUCUGACUAACAUGCCCUAUAACAGCACUGAAUAUCCUUGGAAUAAGGUUAAGGCGCAUUUGCAGGAUCUCACAAGUAACUCAAGUUGAGACAUCAAUUUGUUGAAACAACAAGUUGCUAAUUUUCAAGUUAGGGUACCUAGGGAAUUUUAUAGUACUCAAUUCUAUGAUACUUUAACCAAAACCCUAUCGUCUCUAGACCCUAGAGCUUGGCUUUCAGGAAGCAAUAUUUUCAUAUAUAUAUUAAUCACUCUGCUCUUUUUGUCCUUGAUUAUAGCAUACAGAAGUCUCUACUCAAGACUCCGUGCCUCCCACAAUGGAGUCCAACUAGCCGCCCGCAGUGCUUGAUUUAAAAACAAAAGGAGUAUAUGUUGGGAAGCGUAGUGCAAAAUAGGCGUAAAAGGAGAAAGUCCUUGGGAAAAUGGCGAAGGGCCAGAAGGACGCGGCUUUGCACUACGGACAGAAAGACAUCUCCUGCCUUUGGUUAUGCUCGGCGCCAAGAGUUAAUAAUAAAUAGGGAUGUUACUUGUGAGAGCGGGUUGUGGGAGAAGCCCAUGAAUCAUUUAGAACACGCUGUCCUUGAAAUGUUUCUACUGAUUAUGUGUUAACUCCGUAUGCGCUCUGCUGGCCACAUACUUUAAGCUCUUUGUUCCUGCUUCUAUAAAAAAGCUUGAUUGCAGAAAUAAACUUGUCAGUCCUUGCAAGAGACUGUCCAAGUGUCCUUCUUUCAGGUUCGUUGCUUCCAAGUCCCAGGGAGAAAAACCCCAAACAGUCUACAAACAAUAAAUACUGGAGAGGGUGCAGAGAAAAGGGAACCCUCUUACACUGUUGGUGGGAAUGCAAACUAGUACAGCCACUAUGGAGAAUGGUGUGGAGAUUCCUUAAAAAACUGGAAAUAGAACUGCAACAAUGCAUCGUAAAACCUUCAGAAGGAAAGGAGAAUGUUUUUGUGGACCAUAUGUUUUGUGUGUGGCAGUUUAAGUUAUUAGUUUUUAAAAUCAGUACUUUUUAAUGAAAACAACUUGACCAAAAAUCUGUCACAGAAUUUGAGACCCAUUAAAAAAAGUUUAAUGAGA